rnacentral:rRNA from 1 species
CCUACGGGUGGCAGCAGUGAGGAAUAUUGGUCAAUGGGCGUAAGCCUGAACCAGCCAAGUCGCGUGAGGGAUGAAGGUUCUAUGGAUCGUAAACCUCUUUUAUAAGGGAGAAAAGUGUGGGACGUGUCCUGUUUUGUAUGUACCUUAUGAAUAAGGAUCGGCUAACUCCGUGCCAGCAGCCGCGGUAAUACGGAGGAUCCGAGCGUUAUCCGGGUUUAUUGGGUUUAAAGGGUGCGCAGGCGGCAUUUUAAGUCAGCGGUGAAAGUUUAGGGCUCAACCACGGAAUUGCCGUUGAAACUGGGGGGCUUGAGUAUGUGUGAGGCAUGCGGAAUGCGUGGUGUAGCGGUGAAAUGCUUAGAUAUCACGCAGAACCCCGAUUGCGAAGGCAGCCUGCCGGGCCAUGACUGACGCUGAUGCACGAAAGCGUGGGGAUCAAACAGGAUUAGAUACCCGGGUAGUC